AGUGAACGCUGGCGGUAGGCCUAACACAUGCAAGUCGAACGGCAGCACAGUAAGAUCUUGCUCUUACGGGUGGCGAGUGGCGGACGGGUGAGGAAUACAUCGGAAUCUACUUUUUCGUGGGGGAUAACGUAGGGAAACUUACGCUAAUACCGCAUACGACCUACGGGUGAAAGCAGUGGAUCUUCGGACCUUGCGCGAUUGAAUUAGCCGAUGUCGGAUUAGCUAGUUGGCGGGGUAAAGGCCCACCAAGGCGACGAUCCGUAGCUGGUCUGAGAGGAUGAUCAGCCACACUGGAACUGAGACACGGUCCAGACUCCUACGGGAGGCAGCAGUGGGGAAUAUUGGACAAUGGGCGCAAGCCUGAUCCAGCAAUACCGCGUGGGUGAAGAAGGCCUUCGGGUUGUAAAGCCCUUUUGUUGGGAAAGAAAAGCAGCAGGUUAAUACACCGAUGUUCUGACGGUACCCAAAGAAUAAGCACCGGCUAACUUCGUG
rnacentral:rRNA from 1 species